UACGUAGGUGGCAAGCGUUGUCCGGAAUUAUUGGGCGUAAAGCGCGCGCAGGUGGCUCCUUAAGUCUGAUGUGAAAGUCCACGGCUCAACCGUGGGGGGUCAUUGGAAACUGGGCGACUUGAGUGCAGAAGAGGGAAGUGGAAUUCCAAGUGUAGCGGUGAAAUGCGUAGAGAUUUGGAGGAACACCAGUGGCGAAGGCGACUUUCGGGUCUGUAACUGACUCUGAGGCGCGAAAGCGUGGGGAGCAAACAGG
rnacentral:rRNA from 1 species